GCCUAUGUCCCCAUCCACUACCAUGUGACCUGGGCUGCCCCAUCUACCCAAGCCGGAGUGCCGGACACAAUUCAAAAUUCGAAUCCCUCAGGUAGACGCAACUGCAUCGACCAGAGGAACCACGGCGUGGUCUUCCCCGCGCCUGGAUCUCGAGAUUUCUUCAUGAUUCACCAAUGAAUCUCGGUUCAGCUUCUGUUCCCAGCGGAUCGCAACAGAGGGCCUCCCAGAACUGGGAUUGCUAGAGGAGGAGGAGGACGAUGAGUGCAUUCAUCAUCCUAAUUUCUAGAACGAUUCAUGAAUAUCAGGCCGUGCCAGAUUUCACCAACGUCCCAUAUAUUGUCAACACCGAAGAGCCCGCACCUGAAUCGCAGUGCACUCGAGCUUCGUGGCCUCAAAGAGCAAGUACUUCUGAACCUACAUCAGGGUGAUGUGCACGGCAAUAUUUUCCUAAAAAAAAUCCUGGCAUUAUGAUUAACAACUACCAAAUAUGUAGGGUCUGUCUUGGUAAGAUACCUGACUGUUGUGCCACAUUAUCGGGAAUGAGAAGUGCUUUGGAGAAGGCCAUGAGAAAUUACGCAGAUAGGAAGUCAGAGUUCGUCGUUAAGCCAAUGUGUAGCAGGUGCGGCAUUGCAGACCAUAAAAGGAAUUUGUGUGUGGGAACAAUCUUCAACAUCUUCCAAUAGUUUUUUCAUUGAUGACGACAUUCUCUCGAUUUUGGAGUUCGCUUGCUUUGAAUUGCUGGUCUACUUAUGCAAAAAGAAAAGUGGAUGUCACUCACAAGAUGUUCUGAUUAGAAUAUGUUGCUGCUGACAUAGAAACUUAUUGACUUUUGUUGUAAAGUGAUGCAAAAUACUUUUGUUGUUCAAUAGAGUAAUUGUACGUAAACUUCUCUCUGCUCAUUUCGUGUCAACAAUUUGUAAAUUUAUUGAUGUUACUGCUAUGUAAGAAAAAAGUCCAACUUAUAUGAAACUUUGUUGUACAUUUUGCCCAAGUCUGUAAAUUUCUCCUUGUU